CUCUUGUCGAUUAUGUGAAAGGCAUAUUUCAGUUUUCCAGUGCUGGCACAGAUCUGGGAGAAGAGUGAUGGAAAUCAAAGAGAUCGAGUACGACUUGGAAGACAUAGUCUGUCUGACUUUCCUGCAGAAGUGCUUUGCAGCAGCAAAGACUCACCUGUCCUUCAGGAAAGAUGUGUGCUGUGGCAGUUUCCUAAAGCAGAAGUUCCCUUCCAAGAGCAGCCAGGACUCAGGGCAGAGAUCAGAGCCUCCUGCACAGGUGGUGCAGACUGGGAAGAGAGUGGGCAGGGGCAGAUAAGCUACAGAUAUGGCUCAAGGAAGUUCGGAGUUCAUUCACGGGUAAUAAACCAGUAGGUUGGUCCA
rnacentral:lncRNA from 1 species